GGCUCUUGUAGCUCACCCCUUUCCCCUUAUCCCCCAGGUUUGCAGGUACAGGGUAGACCAGGAGGUCAGCAGGAUUAAAGUUUUUUUUAUGUAAUAGUUAGAAGUUGUGGACAUGAUGAAAUUGUAAUGUAAUGUCUUAUGUAGUCAUGAUAUGUAAUAAUGAUAUUGAGGAUUAGAGGUUGUGCUUGACCCUAUGUGUAUGGUUGUCCCUUUUGAUACAUGAUCUAUAGAAUGCUUUUAUGAUGUUUAUGUUCA
rnacentral:lncRNA from 1 species